CCUACGGGAGGCAGCAGUGAGGAAUAUUGGUCAAUGGCCGGAAGGCUGAACCAGCCAAGCCGCGUGAAGGACGAAGGUGCCAAGCAUUGUAAACUUCUUUUGUCAAGGGACAAAAUCAGGCUCGAGAGCCUGACCGAGGGUACUUGAAGAAAAAGCAUCGGCUAACUCCGUGCCAGCAGCCGCGGUAAUACGUAGGGAGCAAGCGUUGUCCGGAUUUACUGGGUGUAAAGGGUGCGUAGGCGGUCUUGCAAGUCAGACGUGAAAACCACAGGCUCAACCUGUGGACUGCGUUUGAAACUGUGGGG
rnacentral:rRNA from 1 species